GCUCGCCUAGCUCAAUCGGAUAGAACAUCAGACUCUUACAGUAGUCUAGUAAUUUGGGUGAUCUGAAGGCUGCGAGUUCGAUCCUCGCAGUGGGCU